rnacentral:rRNA from 1 species
CCUACGGGAGGCAGCAGUGGGGAAUAUUGGGCAAUGGGCGCAAGCCUGACCCAGCAACGCCGCGUGAAGGAAGAAGGCUUUCGGGUUGUAAACUUCUUUUCUCAGGGACGAAGCAAGUGACGGUACCUGAGGAAUAAGCCACGGCUAACUACGUGCCAGCAGCCGCGGUAAUACGUAGGUGGCAAGCGUUAUCCGGAUUUACUGGGUGUAAAGGGCGUGUAGGCGGGAAAGCAAGUCAGAUGUGAAAACCAUGGGCUCAACCUGUGGCCUGCAUUUGAAACUGUUUUUCUUGAGUACUGGAGAGGCAGACGGAAUUCCUAGGGUAGCGGUGAAAGGCGUAGAGAUUAGGAGGAACACCAGUGGCGAAGGCGGUCUGCUGGACAGCAACUGACGCUGAGGCGCGAAAGCGUGGGGAGCAAACAGGAUUAGAUACCCUUGUAGUC